rnacentral:lncRNA from 1 species
CAUGUUUUAGUUAUUAAAAUUAAUUAUUUUGAUAAUAAUCUUUUACAAAAUCUGGCUUGAACUCCACCAGAUAUUACAUAUAUUGAUCGUAACAGAAAAAAAAAUCAAACAAACCAAACCAAAUGAUUAUUCACUUUUGAGAUAAAUAUUUCAUAUAUAUAUAUAUCAAGAUUAAGUAUAACUUAAUAACAUUCUAAGAUGUGUUUAUUGAAUGAGUUUUUCUUCAAAAUGAACGGAUGCAAGAAACUUUUUGAGGCGCCUAUUGUAAACACAAGGCCUUUCCAGUUGCACCAAAUGACCUGCCUUCUUUAUGCUUUCUAUUGUUGCGUUCUCACCUAAUUCUCUGGAAAUACCAACAACGACAA